UGGGGAAUUUUGCGCAAUGGGCGAAAGCCUGACGCAGCAACGCCGCGUGGGUGAUGAAGGUCUUCGGAUCGUAAAACCCUGUCGUCGGGGACGAAGGUGGAGGGGUUAAUAGCCUCUUUGCUUGACGGUACCCGGAGAGGAAGCCCCGGCUAACUCUGUGCCAGCAGCCGCGGUAAUACAGAGGGGGCAAGCGUUAUUCGGAAUUAUUGGGCGUAAAGGGCGCGUAGGCGGCUUUUUAAGUGAGAUGUGUAAUCCCUGAGCUCAACUUGGGAACUGCAUCUCAUACUGGGAGGCUAGAGUACUGGAGAGAGUGGUAGAAUUCCACGUGUAGCGGUGAAAUGCGUAGAGAUGUGGAGGAAUACCAGUGGCGAAGGCGGCCACCUGGACAGUAACUGACGCUGAGGCGCGAAAGUGUGGGUAGCAAACAGG
rnacentral:rRNA from 1 species